UUUGGUUUAGGUUACAAUAUUAUUUUUUAAUUUCGAUUCAACUGAUAAAUAAAAGUGGUUUCACCCGUGAAUUGUUUGAAAUAGAGAAAAGAAAAUAAGUGUGUGAGUUAGUUAAUGGUAAAUAAACCUAUAGCAUUGUUUUUUUUAUUUGGUGUUGCCUUCUGUCAGGCAUUUGGCUGAGGCCCAUAAAUAGCAUUGAUUUAUUUUCAACGACACAUUUUGAGCAAGAAUAUCGACGGCUUACAAAAUAGUCCUUGCUCCAAUCAGUUUCGAUUACGUAUUAUGUUUCUGUAGCAUUUCCUGAACGGUGAAAUCCCGGUGGAAGCAUUCAUCAAGCAUAUAAACGAUUGAAAGGGACCAUCACUAAAAGGCAAGAUAGGGAAUUACUUCGUACUACCUGUUGAAGAAGCCUGAAGUGUGGUGAUAUUUUAAUAAAAUAUCCCCACUAUAAAAAGGAGCUCGGAUAUCAACUGAUCGAUGAAGAUUACCGUGAUUUAGGAUACAAAGAAAUAAGAGCUAACUGGAAAAAUAUAAUCGACAAAUUAUGGACGAAUGUCAUAUUGAAAGUUCGAAGCCAGAACUCUUGUUGUGCUGGAAUUUAUGAAUCGUUCAAAUCAAUCUGAAGAUGCUCUCAUUUGUUGCUUUUUAAUUCAACUCACUAGGCUUUACACAAAAGCCUAGUAAAGUUACAAAGAUCAUGAGACCAGCAAUUCUAACCGCACAAGAGGAUGCGCUAAUGUGUGCUGGUAAUCUAGACUCUGCGCACGAGUCCAAUCAAACCACAUCCCAAUCAGUCGUCGUUGAAGAUGAUUAUACACCUCUACGAAGAGACAGUUCUAUGUGUGAAACGUAUACACAAAAAUUGACAGCUGUAUACCGAUUUUCAAGAUAUGUUCAACCAAUCUACAAUUAAACGCUGCAUAGCAGCGAUAUAAGCAGGAACAUCGAUAUAAAACUGUCACGCACGAAUAAUACACAACCCCUGGAACCAGUUCCAGCAGUACAUUCACAAAGAUCUGCAACGGUUUUUGAGAGCUAUGAGUUUGUUCAAUCGUUACGGGAUAAUGAUCGCAUGGCACUGAAUUUUCUGCUUGAUCUCUACAAACGUCGUAAAAUAACACGAAAGGAUAUUCUCGAUGUUCAAUCUAGAGUCAGGGACUUGAACAGUCAUCUUGAAGGCCUCAUCAGUUCAGUAGUAUCGUUUCAAACUAACGACCCACUAACGCGUUUUGUUACUUUUUUUAUCUAUGUGUUUUGUUACUGAUAUCUCUCUACAAAAAUUGUCUGCUAUGUUUGAUUUUAUUGAUACAGCGCACAAAUUCUCUAAGUUUCAGAAUCAGAUCUUUUUGAACAGCCAAGAGUUUUUAUCAUUGAGAACAUCAUCAAUUUAAUCUUAAUGGAUAUAGAACUUCAAAUCAAAAAAAUUCUCGAAACCGAAGAUGUUUCAAUAGAUAUAAUUACCAAUAUCAACGAACUAAUGCAAAUAUGAAAUUGUUAAAACCACUCAGUCCAUAACACUAAAACACAAAGUAUUGUUUGGGAAACUUCGUAGCAGUAAGUCAAAAAUUUAUAGCAGAAUUAUAUCAAAUAAUAGAAUAGCUCAAUUAUUACGCAUAUGCGUCUAGAUGGAAAGUUGACUGUUUAAACAAUUAUUUUUAGGCGUUUGAAAUAGGAAAAAAAGCUAGAUGAAUUUUAUGUCAUUGUUAUGAAUAUUUUAGAUGGAGCACCUUUUACUAUAGAGCAAAUUGAUAAAAAGAAAUGUUUCGCAGGAAAUUGUAUUAAUCUUUUGAUUAAAUAGGAAGCAGAAAACAAAAAUUCAAAAAUUUUUAUAUUUACAUGGUUGAUAAUUC